ACUCACGGGAGGGAGAAAUCAUAUAUGAGAUUAAAUUAUUGAAUUACAGCAGUGGAUAUUACAAGAGAAACAUCAUCCAAAUGUGAUGCAUAAUCUAAAUAGUUUCUUGACAUUGAAACUGAAAUUUAAAGCAUCCAUCAACAUCCCUAAAACAUAACUAAAACAUAACCGGGGAACAUCAUCCCUACAACUUAAUUAAAACUAGAAGCGUCCAUCAUCAUCUUCAGCAUCAUCAUCAGGACCUUCAUCAUCAUAAUUGCAGUAUACUUGUCACACACCCAUAUAAUGACCCAUUUAUCUUUUCAAUCUACAAACAAAGAGCCAAAACAAACUGUUAACACACAAUGCAUUGAAAUGAUGCAAGUAGUGACAGAGGCAGGAUAUUAGUCGCGUACAAAUAUUACUGAAGUUGUAACCAUGAAAGAAUUGCAAAGCUUAGCUUGUAAAUACCUAAUUUGCAAUUUAAGUUCCUACCCUCGUACAAAUGAAAUACACAAGUAUAUCGCUUUCCGACAAUGCAAGGAUCAUCCUCUCAGCCUUCGCAACAUAGCAGACAGAAUUUUCUUCAAACAUCAUAAAAAAAUAUAGUAAGAUCAUUGUACUAUGCAUACUGAAGUUCACACCAUUCUAAAGAAAAUAAACAGUGUUUGUGUUGAAUUAGCCUGAUCAAACCCUUAAAGAGUUACAAAUAUAUGCAUCUGUCAUUUAGUUUACUCCUAACAGAAAAUUAUGAACUUACUUCCACUAGAAAUUUCAUCUAGUUUGUAUAUUAGUAUAUCACUAACAAGAUUUCAAAGUCAUGGGAUCAAAGAGAUUCGAUAUGAUGUACUUACAACCAAAGCUCCAUUCACUGUAGCAUUGUAGUGUUGAAUAGGCCAUUACCAUAGAUGCAAAUCUAGAAGUACGUUAAUAUGUAUAUGAAAUUUACAAUCUUACUUAUAUUUUGUUCUUGCCCCUUUUGUUGAAGUACAACAUGUCACAAUAUUUAGAUUAGUAUAUAUAUGUGCAGAGGUAGCAAAGUAGCCAGCUAAAAAACAAUUAAUGCAAGCUGCAAAAUAUUGAUCCGAAAUACAUAUGAGAAGGCACUGCCUUUGCACAGAUCAUUCAGUUACAGCUAUAUAAACUUAUCAAACUACAUUUAAACAGAAGGACACAUAUUUUUUUUGUGCCAUAGCCUUGAAUGCAUAAUUCAAUUCAAGAAAACGCAAUCACCAAACAGAUGUAGAGAAGCAAAAGUUGCAGUAUACCUGAUCAUAUAUAAUACAUGUCAUUUCUUAAUCACGUGUCCGCACCAAUAUACCUAAAAAGUUGCAGUGGCAUGGAAAAAAUAUAGGGGAGAGAUGCAGCCUUCCAGUGAACUGCGUUUUGCAGCUAUAAGCAAGUUUGUAAUAAUAUAUAAUCAGGUGAGAGGAGAGUUAGACCAACACAUCUUAUUAUGGGG
rnacentral:lncRNA from 1 species